AACGAACGCUGGCGGCAUGCCUAACACAUGCAAGUCGAACGAAGCCUUCGGGCUUAGUGGCGCACGGGUGCGUAACGCGUGGGAAUCUGCCCUUGGGUUCGGAAUAACAGUUAGAAAUGACUGCUAAUACCGAAUGAUGUCUUCGGACCAAAGAUUUAUCGCCCAAGGAUGAGCCCGCGUCGGAUUAGCUAGUUGGUGAGGUAAAGGCUCACCAAGGCGACGAUCCGUAGCUGGUCUGAGAGGAUGAUCAGCCACACUGGGACUGAGACACGGCCCAGACUCCUACGGGAGGCAGCAGUGGGGAAUAUUGCGCAAUGGGCGAAAGCCUGACGCAGCGACGCCGCGUGGGUGAUGAGGGCCUGGUCGUAAAGCCUCGUCGCAGGGGAAGAAGUAAGACAUCGGUAUAAUAACG
rnacentral:rRNA from 1 species